ACCCCAAUUGAAGCAAAUUUAGUUCAAUCUUAAAAGCCUCAGUGCACAGUUGAAGUUUAUUUUUCUUCGCUCAUUUGAAAACAAAAGAAAAACAGACAUGAAGCUUAUAUACUUAUUAAUAUCAUGUAUUUGUCUCGUAACGGCAGCAGAAAGAAUGAUGCUAAAUAACAUUACAAUUGCUUCUAAUGCUGCUUUUAUAUCUAGACGAAGUAUCAGUUGUCAAAGAGUUAAUCAUCGUGGCCAAUGUAUUGGUGGAAGCUCUAAAUAAAACGAAUCUAAAAAAUUUAUAAGAAAAUUAAAACUUCAUAUGAUGACGUCAUUAUAAUCGAUAAUCAGUUGAUCUCAAAUAAACAAUACGUUCUAACCUUAACCUUUAAUUAAUUUACAUGAUAUUUUAUUGGCAAACACUGGAACUGAAUAUGGUACUGGACGAAAAAUUAGCGGCAUUUCAAAAAGAGAAAGAAGAUACAUACUUAUAAAAUUACUGUAUAGUAAUGCUAAAAUAUAUAUGUAAAUAAAAGAGAAAUUCAAAAGAAGAUUACAAAAGAAUAAUUCCAUGAUGAUUAGCAAUUUAACUGCAUACGACACUGAAAUUCUUAUAAGAAGAAGAUUAAGCUAGUCAAAGAAGAUUAAGCUAGUCAAAGUUAUUUUCUAGAAACGAAAAAUUGAAAUCGACAUCAGCUUCCGGUCAACAGCUUUUUAAGCACUUUCUCAACAAUUUCAUUAUCAGCUCCUCAAAGACGAAUUCAAUUCAUUUCUAUCUGUUAAAAAUCAGGACGGAAAAUGGUAUCCACAUGUGUCAUGUAGCGCUUGGAUGACCAAAAUGUAAAAAUUAUGAUCAUCGUGGAAAAUGUAUUGAUUUAAGCUCGAAAUAAAACGUAUACACAAAAACUGUGUAGGAAGAUUAAAAUUAACACACAUCAUUAUAAUCAAUAAUCACUUCGUUGGAAUUUAGAACUACGAAUAAAAAUGAUAUAAUAUAUGCACAUAAAUAUUAAAUUACAAUAGUUAUUAGACGUUUUGAAAUGAGGAAAGAAUAAAUGUAUACCUUAAUAAAAUUUAGUUAUUCUAUAGUGUUCACAUGAGUUAUGAGCGUUCUGCAACGUCAUGUCACAACACCUCAUCACAAAACAGUUGACAACACACACCACUAMACACACACACAUCAAACACAGUACCAAACACCGCUCAUCAUUACUAAUAAUUGGAAAUAUUCACCACCCAAACUAUUAAAAGGGAUAGAUCCGAACGGGAUCUUCCUCUUAUCGUUUUCAUCCCGGAAGCAAGACGUUCGACCGCUAAUAUUCAUUUUCACUUGUUCUACCGCAACAACCACGACACUUACUUUUUUUAUAAACCGCCAAGUGACGGAGUGGAUUUCGCCGCAGUGCCUCGCAGUGUGUGGAAACCAAUACUGAAAAUAAAAUUGUUUUAUAGUAAUCAGAUAAAAUUAUACAGUUGUUCUAAUAAGCUUAAUAAUUAUUUUAUAAAGAGUGUGUGUUAGAGAGAUCAGUGCUUUUUACUUGGCUUAUCGAGAUCGUGUAAGUAUACUAGUGGCACGGUUGAAAUAUAGUUAUAUUAUUUAAAUCUUUAUUCAAACAAUACGUUUUAAACUUAUUCUUUAAUUAUAAAAUAACAUCGCCGUCUAAACGAUGUUUUUAUGGCCAAAACAGCAGGCUUUCUACAUGGUACUGGACGAAAAAUCAUCGAUAUUUCAAGAGAAAGGAUAUCUCUACUUAUGCAAUUCCUGAAAAAGGGAUGCUAAAACAUGUAUGUAAUUAUAUGAAUAUUAUGGCUAAACCUCGUUUAAUGGCCAUGCAUGACAAAAAUUCUCAUCUAACUCAGAAACACUUGAGAAACACACACUAUUAUAUAAAAAUACUAUGCUGUAGUGUAUAAGUUAAAUCAAUUAAAUAUAGAAUGAAAUGAAAAUACA